rnacentral:rRNA from 1 species
CGACGAGUGGCGGACGGGUGAGUAAUACUUAGGAAUCUGCCCAGUGUGGGGGACAACUCGAGGAAACUCGAGCUAAUACCGCAUACGCCCUACGGGGGAAAGCGGGGGAUCUUCGGACCUCGCGCUAUUGGAUGAGCCUAAGUCGGAUUAGCUUGUUGGUGAGGUAAAGGCUCACCAAGGGGACGAUCCGUAGCUGGUCUGAGAGGACGAUCAGCCACACUGGGACUGAGACACGGCCCAG